rnacentral:rRNA from 3 species
CAUUUGCCAAGUAUGUUCCCGUUAAUCAAGAACGAAAGUUAGAGGUUCGAAGGCGAUCAGAUACCGCCCUAGUUCUAACCAUAAACGAUGCCAGCCAGCGAUCCGCCGAAGUUCCUCCGAUGACUCGGCGGGCAGCUUCCGGGAAACCAAAGCUUUUGGGUUCCGGGGGAAGUAUGGUUGCAAAGCUGAAACUUAAAGGAAUUGACGGAAGGGCACCACCAGGAGUGGAGCCUGCGGCUUAAUUUGACUCAACACGGGAAACCUCACCAGGCCCGGACACCGGAAGGAUUGACAGAUUGAGAGCUCUUUCUUGAUUCGGUGGGUGGUGGUGCAUGGCCGUUCUUAGUUGGUGGAGCGAUUUGUCUGGUUAAUUCCGGUAACGAACGAGACUCUAGCCUGCUAAAUAGACGAUUUCCGGUAUCCACAAUAGUGCUACCGGCGAAAUCAAUAUCUUCUUAGAGGGACAGGCGGCUUUCAGCCGCACGAAACUGAGCAAUAACAGGUCUGUGAUGCCCUUAGAUGUCCUGGGCCGCACGCGCGCUACACUGAAGGAAUCAGCGUGUAUACCCUGGCCGAAAGGCUCGGGCAACCCGUUGAACCUCCUUCGUGCUAGGGAUUGGGGCUUGCAAUUGUUCCCCAUGAACGAGGAAUUCCCAGUAAGCGCGAGUCAUAAGCUCGCGUUGAUUACGUCCCUGCCCUUUGUACACACCGCCCGUCGCUACUACCGAUUGAAUGAUUUAGUGAGGUCUUCGGACUGGUGCGCGGCGGCCGCCUGCGCGGCCGCCGAUGCCACCGGGAAGAUGACCGAACUUGAUCAUUUAGAGGAAGUA